rnacentral:rRNA from 1 species
CUCCUACGGGGCGCAGCAGUCGGGAAUAUUGCGCAAUGGAGGAAACUCUGACGCAGUGACGCCGCGUAUAGGAAGAAGGUUUUCGGAUUGUAAACUAUUGUCGUUAGGGAAGAUAAAAGACUGUACCUAAGGAGGAAGCCCCGGCUAACUAUGUGCCAGCAGCCGCGGUAAUACAUAGGGGGCAAGCGUUAUCCGGAUUUACUGGGUGUAAAGGGAGCGUAGACGGCUGUGCAAGUCUGAAGUGAAAGCCCGUGGCUCAACCGCGGAACUGCUUUGGAAACUGUAUAGCUUGAGUACUGGAGAGG